rnacentral:rRNA from 1 species
UACAGAGGGUGCAAGCGUUGUUCGGAAUUAUUGGGCGUAAAGCGCGUGUAGGCGGCUUUGCAAAGUCGGGUGUGAAAUCCCUCGGCUCAACUGAGGAACUGCACGGGAAACUGCCUGGCUUGAGUUCGGGAGAGGAUGGUGGAAUUCCCAGUGUAGAGGUGAAAAUUCGUAGAUAUUGGGAAGAACACCGAAUGGCGAAGGCAGCCAUCUGGACCGACACUGACGCUGAGGCGCGAAAGCGUGGGGAGCGAACGAGGA